GAUGAACGCUGGCGGCGUGCCUAAUACAUGCAAGUCGAGCGAACAGACGAGGAGCUUGCUCCUCUGAAGUUAGCGGCGGACGGGUGAGUAACACGUGGAUAACAUACCUAUAAGACUGGGAUAACUUCGGGAAACCGGAGCUAAUAUCGGAUAAUCUAUUGAACCGCAUGGUUCAAUAGUGAAAGACGGUUUUGCUGUCACUUAUAGAUGGAUCCGCGCCGCAUUAGCUAGCUGGUAAGGUAACGGCUUACCAAGGCAACGAUGCGUAGCCGACCUGAGAGGGUGAUCGGCCACACUGGAACUGAAACACGGACCAGACUCCUACGGGAGGCAGCAGUAGGGAAUCUUCCGCAAUGGGCGAAAGCCUGACGGAGCAACGCCGCGUGAGUGAUGAAGGUCUUCGGAUCGUAAAACUCUGUUAUUAGGGAAGAACAAAUGUGUAAGUAACUAUGCACGUCUUGACGGUACCUAAUCAGAAAGCCACGGCUAACUACGUG
rnacentral:rRNA from 1 species